UCCCUGGUGGCUCAGAGGGUAAAGAGUCUGCCUGCAAUGCAGGAGACCCGGGUUCCAUCCCUGGAUUGGGAA
rfam:TPA: Bos taurus chromosome 29, whole genome shotgun sequence.